GGGUUGUGAGGUUAAGCGACUAAGCGUACACGGUGGAUGCCCUGGCAGUCAGAGGCGAUGAAGGACGUGCUAAUCUGCGAUAAGCGCCGGUAAGGUGAUAUGAACCGUUAUAACCGGCGAUUUCCGAAUGGGGAAACCCAGUGUGAUUCGUCACACUAUCAUUAACUGAAUCCAUAGGUUAAUGAGGCGAACCGGGGGAACUGAAACAUCUAAGUACCCCGAGGAAAAGAAAUCAACCGAGAUUCCCCCAGUAGCGGCGAGCGAACGGGGAGGAGCCCAGAGCCUGAAUCAGCAUGUGUGUUAGUGGAAGCGUCUGGAAAGGCGCGCGAUACAGGGUGACAGCCCCGUACACAAAAGCGCAUGUGCUGUGAGCUCGAUGAGUAGGGCGGGACACGUGGUAUCCUGUCUGAAUAUGGGGGGACCAUCCUCCAAGGCUAAAUACUCCUGACUGACCGAUAGUGAACCAGUACCGUGAGGGAAAGGCGAAAAGAACCCCGGCGAGGGGAGUGAAAAAGAACCUGAAACCGUGUACGUACAAGCAGUGGGAGCACAGGUUUACCUGUGUGACUGCGUACCUUUUGUAUAAUGGGUCAGCGACUUAUAUUCUGUAGCAAGGUUAACCGUAUAGGGGAGCCGCAGGGAAACCGAGUCUUAACCGGGCGUUAAGUUGCAGGGAGAAACCCGGUGAUCAGCCAUGGGCAGGUUGAAGGUUGGUAACACUAACUGGAGGACCGAACCGACUAAUGUUGAAAAAUUAGCGGAUGACCUGUGGCUGGGGGUGAAAGGCCAAUCAAACCGGGAGAUAGCUGGUUCUCCCCGAAAGCUAUUUAGGUAGCGCCUCGUGAAUUCAUCUCCGGGGGUAGAGCACUGUUUCGGCUAGGGGGCCAUCCCGGCUUACCAACCCGAUGCAAACUGCGAAUACCGGAGAAUGUUAUCACGGGAGACACACGGCGGGUGCUAACGUCCGUCGUGAAGAGGGAAACAACCCAGACCGCCAGCUAAGGUCCCAAAGUCAUGGUUAAGUGGGAAACGAUGUGGGAAGGCCCAGACAGCCAGGAUGUUGGCUUAGAAGCAGCCAUCAUUUAAAGAAAGCGUAAUAGCUCACUGGUCGAGUCGGCCUGCGCGGAAGAUGUAACGGGGCUAAACCAUGCACCGAAGCUGCGGCAGCGACACUCAGGUGUUGUUGGGUAGGGGAGCGUUCUGUAAGCCUGUGAAGGUGGCCUGUGAGGGUUGCUGGAGGUAUCAGAAGUGCGAAUGCUGACAUAAGUAACGAUAAAGCGGGUGAAAAGCCCGCUCGCCGGAAGACCAAGGGUUCCUGUCCAACGUUAAUCGGGGCAGGGUGAGUCGACCCCUAAGGCGAGGCCGAAAGGCGUAGUCGAUGGGAAACGGGUUAAUAUUCCCGUACUUGGUGUUACUGCGAAGGGGGGACGGAGAAGGCUAUGUUGGCCGGGCGACGGUUGUCCCGGUUUAAGCGUGUAGGUGUGUGUUCCAGGUAAAUCCGGUUCACUUUAACACUGAGGCGUGAUGACGAGGCACUACGGUGCUGAAGCAACAAAUGCCCUGCUUCCAGGAAAAGCCUCUAAGCAUCAGGUAACAUCAAAUCGUACCCCAAACCGACACAGGUGGUCAGGUAGAGAAUACCAAGGCGCUUGAGAGAACUCGGUGAAGGAACUAGGCAAAAUGGUGCCGUAACUUCGGAGAAGGCACGCUGACAUGUAGGUGAAGUGAUUUACUCAUGGAGCUGAAGUCAGUCGAAGAUACCAGCUGGCUGCAACUGUUUAUUAAAACACAGCACUGUGCAAACACGAAAGUGGACGUAUACGGUGUGACGCCUGCCCGGUGCCGGAAGGUUAAUUGAUGGGUCAGCGCAAGCGAAGCUCCUGAUCGAAGCCCGGUAAACGGCGGCCGUAACUAUAACGGUCCUAAGGUAGCGAAAUUCCUUGUCGGGUAAGUUCCGACCUGCACGAAUGGCGUAAUGAUGGCGGCUGUCUCCACCGAGACUCAGUGAAAUUGAACUCGCUGUGAAGAUGCAGUGUACCCGCGGCAAGACGGAAAGACCCGUGAACCUUUACUAUAGCUUGACACUGAACAUUGAGCCUUGAUGUAGGAUAGGUGGAGGCUUUGAAGUGGACGCCAGUCUGCAUGGAGCCGGCCUGAAAUACCACCCUUUAAUGUUUGAUGUUCUAACGUGGACCCGUAAUCCGGGUUGCGGACAGUGUCUGGUGGGUAGUUUGACUGGGGCGGUCUCCUCCUAAAGAGUAACGGAGGAGCACGAAGGUUGGCUAAUCCUGGUCGGACAUCAGGAGGUUAGUGCAAUGGCAUAAGCCAGCUUGACUGCGAGCGUGACGGCGCGAGCAGGUGCGAAAGCAGGUCAUAGUGAUCCGGUGGUUCUGAAUGGAAGGGCCAUCGCUCAACGGAUAAAAGGUACCGGGAUAACAGGCUGAUACCGCCCAAGAGUUCAUAUCGACGGCGGUGUUUGGCACCUCGAUGUCGGCUCAUCACAUCCUGGGGCUGAAGUAGGUCCCAAGGGUAUGGCUGUUCGCCAUUUAAAGUGGUACGCGAGCUGGGUUUAGAACGUCGUGAGACAGUUCGGUCCCUAUCUGCCGUGGGCGCUGGAGAACUGAGGGGGGCUGCUCCUAGUACGAGAGGACCGGAGUGGACGCAUCACUGGUGUUCGGGUUGUCAUGCCAAUGGCACUGCCCGGUAGCUAAAUGCGGAAGAGAUAAGUGCUGAAAGCAUCUAAGCACGAAACUUGCCCCGAGAUGAGUUCUCCCUGAGACUUAGAGUCUCCUGAAGGAACGUUGAAGACGACGACGUUGAUAGGCCGGGUGUGUAAGCGCAGCGAUGCGUUGAGCUAACCGGUACUAAUGAACCGUGAGGCUUAACCUUACAACGCCGAAG
rnacentral:rRNA from 1 species